rnacentral:rRNA from 1 species
CCUACGGGUGGCAGCCGUGAGGAAUAUUGGUCAAUGGCCGAGAGGCUGAACCAGCCAAGUCGCGUGAGGGAAGACGGCCCUACGGGUUGUAAACCUCUUUUGUCGGGGAGCAAAGCGCGUCACGUGUGACUCAUUGAGAGUAACCGAAGAAAAAGCAUCGGCUAACUCCGUGCCAGCAGCCGCGGUAAUACGGAGGAUGCGAGCGUUAUCCGGAUUUAUUGGGUUUAAAGGUUGCGCAGGCGGAGGUGCAAGUCAGCGGUCAAAUUGCGGGGCUCAACCCCGUCGUGCCGUUGAAACUGGAAGCCGUGAGUUGGCGAGAAGUAUGCGGAAUGCGUGGUGUAGCGGUGAAAUGCAUAGAUAUCACGCAGAACUCCGAUUGCGAAGGCAGCAUACCGGCGCGCAACUGACGCUGAUGCACGAAAGCGUGGGUAUCGAACAGGAUUAGAUACCCGAGUAGUC